rnacentral:rRNA from 1 species
AAGCGGUACGCGAGCUGGGUUCAGAACGUCGUGAGACAGUUCGGUCCCUAUCCGUCGUGGGCGUAGGAAAUUUGAGAGGAGCUGUCCUUAGUACGAGAGGACCGGGAUGGACAUACCUCUGGUGUACCAGUUGUCGUGCCAACGGCAUAGCUGGGUAGCUAUGUGUGGACGGGAUAAGUGCUGAAAGCAUCUAAGCAUGAAGCCCCCCUCAAGAUGAGAUUUCCCAACUUCGGUUAUAAGAUCCCUCAAAGAUGAUGAGGUUAAUAGGUUCGAGGUGGAAGCAUGGUGACAUGUGGAGCUGACGAAUACUAAUCGAUCGAAGACUUAAUCAA